UGUGUAGGCGGUUCUUUAAGUUUGGUGUGAAAUCUCCCGGCUCAACCGGGAGGGUGCGCCGAAUACUGAGGGACUAGAGUGUGGGAGAGGAAAGUGGAAUUCCUGGUGUAGCGGUGAAAUGCGUAGAUAUCAGGAGGAACACCGGUGGUGUAGACGGCUUUCUGGACCAUAACUGACGCUGAGACACGAAAGCGUGGGUAGAAC
rnacentral:rRNA from 1 species